UUUGAGCUGCCAUGUCGGUGCUGGAAAUUGAACUGAGGUCCUCUGGAAGAGGAGCCAGUGCUCUUAACUG
rnacentral:miRNA from 1 species